GAGACGACUGGUUUCACUCCUGAAUCACUUCGUCUCCUGCUCCCAGAUUCACUCCUCAGCCUCCUGCCGCCUCCCCCCUGUCAGCCAUGCUCCGGGCCUGGAGUGUGUGUGUCCUCCUCCUGAUCGGGGCGAGCCUCUCCGCUGCAGACAAGAUGACAGCAGCCACCGUGUACUGGGAUCCCCUCCAAAAGACCGUCCUGCUGAAGGAAGGGGUUCUGGAGGUGGAGGGGGACGCGUACGGGUACCUGAACGACACCUUGUCCAGUACAGGCUGGAGCAUCCUCGAGAUCCGGGCCGGCUACGGAAAAACCCCCGAGACCGACGAGGUCACCUUCUUCCUCGCCGGAUACCUCGAAGGCUUCCUCACCGCCCAGCAGAUGAUGGACAACUACAUCAACAUGUACCCGCAGCUGAUUCACGACCCAAAGAUCCUCGGCCCUGUUCAGAGUUUCAUGGAGAAGCAGGAUUCAUGGGUCAGGGCGCAAGUGAAGUCCAACAAGAGCUCCGAUCCUCUGUGGAGACACGCAGGCUUCAUCGUGGCCCAGAUGGACGGACUCCAAGCCGGAGCAAGAGACUGGGCCAAGAAACAAGGGAAAAAGCCGCUGUCCCUGUUCUCCAUCCAGUUCCUGAGCGCGGUGGGAGACCUGCUGGAUCUGAUCCCAGCCCUGGUCCCCGACUCCCGACACAGAGACUUCAGACGGCCGGGGAUGGGGCACUGCUCCGCGCUCAUCAAGAUGCUCCCCGGCUUUGAGAACCUCCUGUUCGCCCACUCCAGCUGGUACACGUACGCUGCCACCAUGCGCAUCUACAAACACUGGGACUUCCACGUCGCUGAUCCCAACACGGCCACUGGGAAACUGUCGUUCAGCAGCUACCCUGGUUUCCUGGUGUCUCUCGAUGACUUCUACCUCUUGGGCAGUGGUCUGAUGAUGACCCAGACCACCAACAAUGUCUUCAACUCCUCCCUGUUCGAGUCGGUGACCCCCCACAGUCUGCUGGCAUGGCAGAGGGUCCGGCUGGCUCACAGUCUGGCUCACACCGGAGAGGAGUGGGCCCAGACCUUCUCCAAGCACAACUCAGGUACCUACAACAACCAGUACAUGGUGUUGGACAGGAGCAAAGUGAAGCUGGGCCACAGCAUCGAUGACGGUGCUCUGACGGUGGUGGAGCAGAUCCCCGGCCUGGUGGAGUUCUCCGACCAGACACAGGCUCUGCGCAGAGGUUACUGGCCGUCCUACAACGUACCUUUCCACGAGAAGAUCUACCUGCUGAGUGGCUACGGUGAAAUGUGGAAGGAGUAUGGAGAGGACUUCUCCUACGAUCUCUGUCCCAGGGCCAAGAUCUUCCGCCGGGAUCAGGCCGACGUCAAGGACCUGGACUCCUUGAAGCACAUCAUGAGGUCCAACGACUACAAGAAGGAUCCAUACUCCAAAGGCGACCCCUGCAAGUCCAUCUGCUGCCGUAACGACUUGAGUUCCGAGAAGCCUUCACCAGGAGGUUGCUACGACACCAAGGUGACAGAUUUCCAAAUGGCUGAGUAUUUCCAUGCGGAGGCGGUGAACGGGCCGACCACACAGGACGGACUCCCGCCGUUCAUUUGGGACAAGUUCAGCAACAUCAGCCACCAAGGUCUGCCGCAGUCCUACAACUUCACCUUCGUCAGGAUGCAGCCUCUGCUCUUUCAACCGUGAGGUGUGUGUGUGUGUGUGUGUGUGUGUGUGUGUGUGUGUGUGUGUGUGUGUGUGUGUGUGUGUGUGUGUGUGUGUGUGUGUGUGUGUGUGUGUGUGUGUGUGUGUGUGUGUGUGUGUGUGUGUGUGUGUGUGUGUGUGUGUGUGUGUGUGUGUGUGUGUGUGUGUGUGUGUGUGUGUUUUCCUCAGUGCAUGCACUAAGCACAUUGAACUGAGAUGUGAUCCAAUAUCCUUCUUUCUUUCCUCUUGUCCUCACAUGUUUUAUAUUUUGUUUUUUUUUAUAUUACAGUUUAAUGUAUUUUACUGCAAAGACAAGAAAACAAAGAAACUGCUUGUGGAGCCGUUGCCACGUGUCAAACAUCAUUUAAUAAAAUACAGAACAAAAAUCAUGACAGAAACAUUCCUGGUGUUCUGGAGAAACAAAGGUAGCGUUGUUGUGGCGAAGAGGAGAAAUAUUCUUGACACUAACUGAGUGGAUCCAGCUCCACUGUCUCUGCAGCAGAAAAUUCUAUUUACACGGUAAAUAAUUUAGUCAAACUUCCUCAAUCAGCGAGCGUCCAGCCGAAAACAUGGAAACAACAACAGAGAACUUUAUAAAGUAAAGUCAGCAAGAGUCCAUUUGAUAUAUUGGAUUCCUGGUUUUGAGAGAACUGACUUUAACUGAUUUGUUAAAUCCUCCCACAGCCGACCCUGAUACAAAAUUUAAGUUUUUUUGGGAAUUAGAAAAAGUUGUAGUAUCGAAAAUAACUCUAUGGCAGACAGUAAAUAAUAAAGUGACGAGUCUCGUUACAAAACGAUGGCCUGCUCCACAUAGUUAAAAAUAUAUAUAUAUAUUGCCUGUGUUUUUCUCUUAAUGUCACUUUGGUUGUUCCUUACUUAUUAUAAUAGCAGGUCUGUGUGAAACUGCGUCAGUGCCACAGAAUAAAAGAAGAAUAAAGCUCGUCUAUAACAUG